GGGAUGAUAAAGCUUUUUUUCUCAUGGGUUCUAAUUUAUCCGAAAGUAAUUGGGUAUGUGCACUGAUUAUUGGAUGGUACAUUCAAUGAAUUUAUCGUGAAAGCUCGGGACAAUGAUGUGCUAUCGGGUUCGCCGCAACUUUUUGAGGCUUCGAAACUUUUUUUUUUCAGAUAAAUGUUAUUUUGCAGUUGUCCCUCGCGAAUAUUCGAGACAGUUAUCGAACAUUCGAAAAAAGGUUUUUAAAUUCGCGGUCUCUCCGAGGAAAAACCAGUCGUAGUCGUCAAUCAUUAAAGUCGGCCAGUCAACUCCGGUCACAUUCUGAUCUAGAUUCAACUUGACAACCGGUGUAUUUUUGUUAAACAUUUGUGUCUCAGAAAUAAAUAAUGGACGUCGUUCGCGGAAUGAUGGAUUAUAUUUCUGAGGAUGUUCAAUAAGUACUGGGUUUUUGGGACAUGUUAUGAUAAAAAAUUCAAAUAUCAAGCUUCAAGGAAAAGUGAAACAUUAAUUUUUCAAUUGACACCUAAAGUAGUCAGUUAAUUUUUCUUUUUAUAAUCAAAUUUACUCACUUGCACAAUUUACUUACUUUGAUGAUCAAUUAGGAAAAUUUAAUUCCAAACGUAAUCGAUCUUUCUAUAUUUUUCUUUAGUUUUAGAAAAAGAAUUUAAUUAAUUUUUUAAUUUGCUAAAAGAAUUAAUGAACACGA